GAUGAACGCUGGCGGCGUGCCUAAUACAUGCAAGUAGAACGCUGAAGGAGGAGCUUGCUCUUCUGGAUGAGUUGCGAACGGGUGAGUAACGCGUAGGUAACCUGCCUGGUAGCGGGGGAUAACUAUUGGAAACGAUAGCUAAUACCGCAUAACAGUAGAUAUUGCAUGAUAUCUGCUUGAAAGGUGCAAUUGCAUCACUACCAGAUGGACCUGCGUUGUAUUGGCUAGUUGGUGAGGUAACGGCUCACCAAGGCGACGAUACAUAGCCGACCUGAGAGGGUGAUCGGCCACACUGGGACUGAGACACGGCCCAGACUCCUACGGGAGGCAGCAGUAGGGAAUCUUCGGCAAUGGACGGAAGUCUGACCGAGCAACGCCGCGUGAGUGAAGAAGGUUUUCGGAUCGUAAAGCUCUGCUGUAAGAGAAGAACGAGUGUGAGAGUGGAAAGUUCACACUGUGACG
rnacentral:rRNA from 1 species